UCCUACGGGGCGCAGCAGUGGGGAAUAUUGCACAAUGGGGGAAACCCUGAUGCAGCGACGCCGCGUGAGUGAGGAAGUAUUUCGGUAUGUAAAGCUCUAUCAGCAGGGAAGAAAAUGACGGUACCUGACUAAGAAGCCCCGGCUAACUACGUGCCAGCAGCCGCGGUAAUACGUAGGGGGCAAGCGUUAUCCGGAUUUACUGGGUGUAAAGGGAGCGUAAACGGAGGAGCAAGUCUGAUGUGAAAAUCCGGGGCCCAACCCCGGAACUGCAUUGGAAACUGUUGAACUGGAGUACA
rnacentral:rRNA from 1 species